UAUAUACAAAACUUGACUCAAUAAGUACUUAGGACAGUCCUAUAGAUUUCUGAUGACUAUUGAUGAAGUGAUUUUUUGAUAGUACCAGUUUAAUUUACAAAUUGCAAUUAAUUUAGCAUGACGCUAUAUACGAAAUUCAGAUUUUUGCGUUGAUUUACAAAAAGAAAACUAACGUCAUUAAAACAUUGCAAUUUGUAAACUAUAGUGAGAAUGUUAUAAAAUUUUGAUACAUUUCGUUUGAAGGCUGAUACUAUCUAACAGCCUUAUUCUGGCAUUAUCACCGUUAAAAUAAAUAAAAUAAAAUAGUCAUAAAAUUUGUGAUAGUGUUUGCUUGUCAUCGUUUCGGCCAUUUUAUGUCAAAUUUCGUAUUUUGAGGAAGUUGUAACAAAAAAAUCUCCAAUAUCAAAUUUGCGCUAGCAUAAGGUUAUUAGCUUACACAACUUACAAAAUACAAAUGUGAUAAAUAAAUGAUGAAAAUGUUAAAUCAAUAUAAUAAAAAAAAUUCGUAUCACUUUUACAAUAAUUGACCAACCUUUAACGCUGUAAGUUAAUGAAAUUGAUUAAUAAAUAAAUUAAUAAAGAAAAUAAUACAGUUUCUUUUACAGGCUUACCAUUCGUUAUUUUCUAAAAAACUGGUUAACCCCCGAGUCCCACACAGUGAUAUAUUAUAUAUGUUAAAGCUAUUUAUGUGUAUUAUAUUUGAUUGCAAGAUAAAGUAAAGAUUGCAUAGUCUAUAUUGCUCUAUACUGCUAGGUUAGCAGCAGUCUCUGAAUGACAUUUAUAUCUCUUAAAUGGGACGAUGUCCGUUAAAUGGGACGAAGUAACAGAUUUCGUCACGGCGAUGUCUCUUAAAUGGGACCAAGUAACAGAACUCGUCACGACGAUGUCUUUUAUAUGGAACGAAGUGGUAAAUAAAAACCGUAACAGCUGGAUUUAUAAUAUAAUAAACAAUAAUGAAGAACGUGAGAGAGUUAAGGAAAAAACUGAAGAGUUGCAAUGUCACAUUGAUGAAACUAGUUGCAAAAACAAAGCCAGCCAUACCACAAUGCAAAUGCUAACUGUUUAACAAUCAAUUUCAUAUCAAAUGCAAUACAAAAAUCAUUCGUCGAAGUUUUUAUUAAAAUCAUUCAAUUAGCAUAAACAAUUUUCCCCUAUCUAUGUCCAUUGUCUGGGCUACUGGCCAAAUGAGCCAGUAAGCACUGAGACAAAGAAUACCGGUAAAACAAUUAUGUGGUCUACGAGAAGAUUUUGAAGAAGAAUGUGUUAUCGUUGGAACAAUAAACCUAAUAUUCUUAAAGAUAUUUCUGAAGAAAAUCAGUUGGCUCCACAACCUCAAAAAUGGAUGUUUUUGGUUUCAUGCAACUUAAUCAAUUAGGAAAGGAGGGAAGGAGCUAAGUUCGUUUAUAUUAACAUUUCACAUCUUACGGUACAGCGUUCAUAUAACUGCAUACAAUAGAGAAAAAUAAAUAAUAUGUAGAAAACAAGGAAAGAAGAGGCUUAAAGAGGUGAAUGAACUCAAACUGAUGAUCUGAACAAAUCACAAUUGUGGUUGAGAUAGGACUUUUUAUUUAAUAAAUAGUAUAACUUGCCGAAAUUGCACUUUUUAUCUGUGGAAUCGUAUUGAUUAAUAAUAUGUUUUUUCUUUGUAUAUUUAAAAAACAUAAAAAAAUAUUUUUUAAUAUGUAUUUUUUAUACGAAUUGUAAUACUGUAGCAUACCUGUCAAAGUUAACGUUUGUUCACUGUUUCUUGAACAAACGUUAACAGCCUUUCAGAUAGAUUUUUAGUUAAAUAUAUAUGUAACUAAUUUUUGCAAAAUAAAAUUAUAGACAAGAUUUUGUUCAAACAUGUGUCAAAAGAUUGAUUAAAAACUUGAUCUAUUCCCUUCAGUUAAUA